GGAGGGAGGAUUCCUUCUAGAACUUUCACGUGUAGUUUUAAUCAUAUAUAUUAACACAACUUUUAUUUUUCUCAAGUGCCUGUUUUAUGAACUCUUGACCUUGGUGACUCUGAUUUUGCCACUGUAGUUCUCCAAGGAAGAAAAGCUGGUCCAGCUGCGGGAGGAACAGCUCGGGUCUUGAGAGGGCUGUGUGAUGUGUGAUCCUGCAUUUCAAAUCAGGCAGAACAAUGGGACCCAGCCUCUCAGGAGGUUUGCGUUAAAAGCUUCCCAGUUCCCACAGAAUUUUAAAUUGUGCAAGGUCAUGGAAAGACCAUGUCCCCGGGCUGGGAGCUGUGUGUGGAAAGGAGAAGAUUGUGAGGCGCCAUCAUGGGGCCACCGACAGCUCAACUGGUA